ensembl:snRNA U1 U1 spliceosomal RNA
AUACUUACCUGGCAGGGGAGAUACCAUGAUCACGAAGGUGGUUUUCCCAGGGCGAGGCUUAUCCAUUGCACUCCGGAUGUGCUGACCCCUGAGAUUUCCCCAAAUGUGGGAAACUCGACUGCAUAAUUUGUGGUAGUGGGGGACUGCGUUCGCGCUUUCCCCUG